AGCUAUAUGAAUAUAUAUUUAGUAAUUUCUGCCCAGUGAUUAUUUAACGGCCGCAGUACUUUGACUGUGCUAAGGUAGCAUAAUCAAUUGACUUUUAAUUGAAGUCUGGAAUGAAUGGAAAAUUGGGAAAAUACUGUCUUAAAAAUAAUUUUAUAAAAUUACUAAUAAGGUGAAAAUACCUUAAUAUUGAAAAAAGACGAGAAGACCCUUAGAGUUUUUUUGUUGGGGUGACAGAUAAGCAAACCUUAUUAUAUGAAUGGAAAAACUACCUUAGGGAUAACAGCAUAAUUUUAUUUUAAGAUUGUGACCUCGAUGUUGGACUAGGAAAUUAAUAAUUAGAAAUUAAAAUAAAAUGUUCUGUUCGAACAAUUUCUCCU
rnacentral:rRNA from 1 species